rnacentral:lncRNA from 1 species
GCACUCUAUACCCAUACUUUUUUACCCCUUUCCCAUGGUACUGAGGCUGUUUCUGGUCAGUCUUGAAGCAUAGGCAGGGCGAAGGAGUAACUCAGUGCCACACAGAUUGCAGUGUGGUUUUCUAGUUCGGAGUUCCCUGAAGAUGCUAUAUAGUAUAUUCAAAGAAUGUGCAUGUUUCCUUUAAAUACAUUAUGCUUUGGUGUGAUUCUGAGAUAAGCAUCCUGAAUCACUGACUAGUAGUUAUUUUAAAUUCACAGGCUUUUUAGCUAUCCCUAAGACACUUGAUAUGUCUAUAACCUGGGGCAUAUUAUGACAAGAAUGGCUUGUACAUGACAUUUACAGGAAGAUGUUUUCAAAUUCAAUGAAAGUCCUUGACAUGAUGCUACCUAAGGACUGAUAAUCACUGCUCUUCUCAGGUGGUCAUGAGGAGAAUUGCUGUUUCUAAAACACUUUCUGGUCAUCCCCUGUUACAGGGCUCAUGCCACCCUCUUUGUGCAGUCCUGUCCUGUCGUGGUGGGGAUGUCUUGGGCAGUGUGCAUGACAGAAGCCAGAUGGCCCUCCAGAAAGGAAACUGCCAAGAAUGAGAAAUGCAAGAUUCUCAGAAAAUGCCAUGUUUGGUUUGGAUUUUGUCCUGGAAUGUGAAACAGAACAAAUGUUAGAUCCUCCCGGGGUGCCUUGAAGAUGAAAUGAGGAAGAGAGGGAAAGCCAUUGGUGAGAAUUAUCUG